rnacentral:lncRNA from 1 species
AAUGAUGAUGUGAGCUAAGUUGGAGGUUUCCUUUUGGCUGAGAGAGAGAGAGAGAGAGACAGAGAGAGAGAGAGAGAGUUCAUCUUUUUUUUCAUCUUGGAAACCUAAGUCGAAUUCUUUCUUCCUCACCCCCAAACACUACAUUCUCUUCAUCUUUUGCUCUUUCUCUCUUCACAAAAGAGUUAGGCAUUGACUUAAGCUUGAUGAUGUUUGUUUUCUUCCUAAAAAAUGGGCUUUCUUGGCCUUUUAUUUCGCUUAAAACUAUUUAUGGUUUUUGUCAAUGUUGUUAGGCAUCUCUUUAGCUUCAUGGAAAUUUAAUUGGUUCUAUGAGAAGUUAAAUUUGUCAUGUUAGAGAAAUUUGAAAAUUGCUUUUGAACUUGCUUUUGUUGAAGUGGUAGCUCGGGAGGAGAGUUUUCAAGCCAUGUAAUUAGUUCUAAAAAAGAUUCAGUCUUGAUGAUUAAAGAGUUGUCUUAGUUAAUAUGUAUAUGUAUAGCUAUUGACUUGAAUUUGUGAUUGUUGUGAAGGUUUGAAACCCUUGUUUGACUCUACUCUAGAAGCUUUGAGCAGAAAGGAAAGCAAUCGAGGUAAGGGCACUUCGAGUUUUAUGGACUUUAAUGUGCAAAAUUGUUUGUUAGGAUUGUAUGACUCUUGAAUGAUUUAUGAAUUGAGCAUGUUUGAAUGUUAUAAAAUAAUUGUAGAGAAUCAAGAAAUCAUAUAUGGAACUUGGGUAAGGUAAAGAGGUCGAAAAUGAUGAAAAAACGCAUUUUCAGGUCUCUGGGAUGGAUCCAGUGGGCGGUGGCUCUAGCGCAACAGCACUAUGGAGGGCCAACGCAGCAACAUUGAGCCUCAGACUUCUAGCGCGGCAGCGCUAGGGGGCCAGCACAGCAGCGCUGAGCCCCUUCCUUCCCUGCGUUGGUGGAUGCUUUAAAGGCAAGAUCGGGGCUGCUUUGGGGUAUUUUUGGGUGUAGUAUGUGACUUCGAAUGUUUUGAAUGAUAUACAUGAAAUAUAUGAGUUAAGAAUUCUUGAUUGACAUAAAGAUUAAAUAUGAUUGAUAUGACUUAUGAGUUGAUUAUAUGUCCUUAAAGUAAUGAAGUGUGACAUUUUUAACUCUGAUGAGAUGUAUGCUGAUUACAUGCUCUUGAAAUGUAAAUCAGAUGAUGUUUGAUAGAUUAUAAAUGCCUUAUAUUGAUGGAGGAUGAUACACACUUGAGCUCUACGCUUGUUGGAUUAACAUAAUGAUUAAGCAUGUA